UGCAUAUCUUAUAUUCUGGGGAUGAGUAGCAGGCAGUUGAAUUUUGGCAUGCUAUUUAUCCGAAAGUGAAAAUGCUACCCCCUGCCCACAAGAAGUUAAGUACCUAAAAUACGUGGCAUAUGUCCUCAGAAAGAUCCAACUAAUGAUUAGAAUAAGCAAUUUAAGGUUCACUUUACUUUUUAUAGUGAUGCGGAUUUUUGUUUUCCAGGGCUACAACUGGUGUCAUGACCGAAACGUCGUCACCAUCUUCAGUGCACCAAACUACUGCUAUCGCUGUGGCAACCAAGCUGCCAUCAUGGAACUGGACGACACUCUGAAAUACUCUUUCCUUCAGUUUGACCCUGCACCUCGACGCGGGGAGCCCCAUGUCACCCGCCGUACCCCCGACUACUUCUUAUAAACACCCACUGGCCUGGUGGUGGAGGAUGAAGACUGCAAGACCGCUACAGCAAGCAAACAACAAACCCCCAAAACCUGUGUGCAUAUGACUUGUUACAACACGAAAGCACUGACAUGGACCAAAAUGUGCCAUGUAAGCAUUUAGUACAUAAUACAAAUUGCCCUGUGUCUCAGUACUGCAACACAGUGUCCCGUUUGAGCCUUUACUGUAGUCGCCUGCUGUAUAAUAUUGAUCGUAAUAUUAUUUUGUUUUUGGGCUCUACACACAGAGAGAAAGCAUCCCUAUAUACGGUAUUUCCCAUUAUUGCGUCUGAGCGCACAGGCACUGCCAUUGAGGCGAUCUCUAUUUUGAAGUGGUCAAUUUUCUUCACGGUUGGCUGAUCUCUCCUGAUUACCAGGUUGGACAUGAUUUCCAACAGGGUCAUGGGGGGGAGGGGGAUCAGCCAAUGAAGUUGGCUGUCCAUGCUAAAAUGGCCUUUUGGCCACUAGAGGCCUCUCUCUGCAACUGUACAUUACUCUGCACAAAAAAAUGUGAUAACUUGCUUACUUUCCCCACCCAAAUAUCACUGGAAAAUGAUACAUUUUCCAUUGGCAAUGCCUGGCAUGUGAAUAACGGUAUUUUAUACAAAUGCACAAGCUUACAUCCCCAGCCCACGCUUCUUCACCAAACUUCUUCCUACUCUUCCCCUUGGUCUAAUCUACCUGUUUAUUUUCCUCUGUAUAUUUGUCAUGAAGUGAUUGCCUCUUUGAUGCAUUUGAACUAAUAAAGUACUUUAAAUUGUAAAUGACACCAAA